GACGAACGCUGGCGGCGGGCCUAACACAUGCAAGUCGAGCGAGAUCUUCCGGUCUAGCGGCGGGCGUGUGGGUAACGCGUGAAAAGAUGCCUCAUGGUACGGAAUCGCCUCGGGAACCUGGGAGUAAUCCCGUAUGUGCGCUGUGGGGGAGAGAUUUAUCGACAAGGUAUUAGGUCGGGUGGGAGUAGGUAGUUGUUGCGGUAAGGGCCUACCAAGCCGCCGAUCCAUGGCUGGUUUGAGAGGAUGAUCAGCCACACCGGGACUGAGAGACGGCCCAGAGGCCUACGGGAGGAAGCAGGGGGGAAUCUUAGAGCAUGGGGGCAAGCCUGAUCGAGCCAUGCCGGGUGAGAGAUGAAGGCGUUAGGGUUGUAAAGCUCUUUCGGUUGGGAAGAUAAUGACGGUACCAGCAGAAGAAGCCCCGGCUAACUCCGUG
rnacentral:rRNA from 1 species